rnacentral:rRNA from 1 species
CGGCGAGUGAAGCGGCAACAGUCAAAUUUGAAAUCUGGCCUCGGCCCGAGUUGUAAUUUGCAGAGGAUUCUUCUGGCGCGGUGCCUUCGAGUUCCCUGGAACGGGACGCCACAGAGGGUGAGAGCCCCGUAUGGUCGGACACCAAGCCUGUAGUGAAGCUCCUUCGACGAGUCGAGUAGUUGGGAAUGCUGCUCUAAAUGGGAGGUAAAUCUCUUCUAAAGCUAAAUACCGGCCAGAGACCGAUAGCGCACAAGUAGAGUGAUCGAAAGAUGAAAAGCACCUUGAAAAGGGGGUUAAAUAGUACGUGAAAUUGUUGAAAGGGAAGCACUUGUGACCAGACUUGGGCCGGCGGCUCAUCAGGGGUUCUCCCCUGUGCACUCCGCCCGGCACAGGCCAGCAUCGGUUCUCGUGGGGGGAUAAGGACCGUCAGGAACGUAGCACCCUCCGGGGUGUGUUAUAGCCUGCGGACGAUACCCCGUG